rnacentral:rRNA from 1 species
CGGCAGCACAGUAAGAGCUUGCUCUUAUGGGUGGCGAGUGGCGGACGGGUGAGGAAUACAUCGGAAUCUACCUUUUCGUGGGGGAUAACGUAGGGAAACUUACGCUAAUACCGCAUACGACCUUCGGGUGAAAGCAGGGGACCUUCGGGCCUUGCGCGGAUAGAUGAGCCGAUGUCGGAUUAGCUAGUUGGCGGGGUAAAGGCCCACCAAGGCGACGAUCCGUAGCUGGUCUGAGAGGAUGAUCAGCCACACUGGAACUGAGACACGGUCCAGACUCCUACGGGAGGCAGCAGUGGGGAAUAUUGGACAAUGGGCGCAAGCCUGAUCCAGCCAUACCGCGUGGGUGAAGAAGGCCUUCGGGUUGUAAAGCCCUUUUGUUGGGAAAGAAAAGCAGUCGGCUAAUACCCGGUUGUUCUGACGGUACCCAAAGAAUAAGCACCGGCUAACUUCGUGCCAGCAGCCGCGGUAAUACGAAGGGUGCAAGCGUUACUCGGAAUUACUGGGCGUAAAGCGUGCGUAGGUGGUUGUUUAAGUCUGUUGUGAAAGCCCUGGGCUCAACCUGGGAAUUGCAGUGGAUACUGGGCGACUAGAGUGUGGUAGAGGGUAGUGGAAUUCCCGGUGUAGCAGUGAAAUGCGUAGAGAUCGGGAGGAACAUCCAUGGCGAAGGCAGCUACCUGGACCAACACUGACACUGA